rnacentral:rRNA from 1 species
AUUGAACGCUGGCGGCAGGCCUAACACAUGCAAGUCGAGCGAGCGGCGGACGGGUGAGUAAUGUCUGGGAAACUGCCUGAUGGAGGGGGAUAACUACUGGAAACGGUAGCUAAUACCGCAUCCCAUCAGAUGUGCCCAGAUGGGAUUAGCUAGUAGUUGGGGUAACGGCUCACCUAGGCGACGAUCCCUAGCUGGUCUGAGAGGAUGACCAGCCAACAUGGAACUGAGACACGGUCCAGACUCCUACGGGAGGAAGCAGUGGGUAAGAUUGCACAAUGGGCGCAAGCCUGAUGCAGCCAUGCCGCGUGUGUGAAGAAGGCCGUCGGGUUGUAAAGCACUUUCAGCGGGGAGGCGUUACCCGCAGAAGAAGCACCGGCUAACUCCGUGCCAGCAGCCGCGGUAAUAC